GGAGGAAAAGAAACUAACAAGGAUUCCCCUAGUAACUGCGAGUGAAGCGGGAAAAGCUCAAAUUUAAAAUCUGGUAGUCUUUGGCUGCCCGAGUUGUAAUCUAGAGAAGCAUUAUCCGCGCUGGACCGUGUACAAGUGUCCUGGAAUGGACUAUCAUAGAGGGUGAGAAUCCCGUCUUUGACACGGACUCCCAGGGCUUUGUGAUGUGCUCUCAAAGAGUCGAGUUGUUUGGGAAUGCAGCUCUAAAUGGGUGGUAAAUUCCAUCUAAAGCUAAAUAUUGGCGAGAGACCGAUAGCGAACAAGUACCGUGAGGGAAAGAUGAAAAGAACUUUGGAAAGAGAGUUAAACAGUACGUGAAAUUGCUGAAAGGGAAACGCUUGAAGUCAGUCGCGUUGGCUGGGGAUCAACCUUGCUUCUUGCUUGGCUUACUUCCCAGUUGACGGGUCAGCAUCAGUUUUGACCAGUGGAUAAAGGUUAGGGGAAUGUGGCACCUCCGGGUGUGUUAUAGCCCUUGAUCAUAUACAUUGGUUGGGACUGA
rnacentral:rRNA from 1 species